CCUACGGGGGGCAGCAGUGGGGAAUAUUGCGCAAUGGGCGCAAGCCUGACGCAGCGACGCCGCGUGAGGGAUGAAGGUCUUCGGAUCGUAAACCUCUGUCAGCAGGGAAGAACGCUCAGUGUGCUAAUCAGCCGUGAAUUGACGGUACCUGCAAAGGAAGCACCGGCUAACUCCGUGCCAGCAGCCGCGGUAAUACGGAGGGUGCGAGCGUUAAUCGGAAUUACUGGGCGUAAAGCGCUCGUAGGCGGUAUGUCAAGUCAAGGGUGAAAUCCCCGGGCUCAACGUGGGAACUGCCUUUGAAACUGGCAGACUAGAGUGUGGGAGAGGGUGGUGGAAUUCCAGGUGUAGGAGUGAAAUCCGUAGAGAUCUGGAGGAACACCAGUGGCGAAGGCGACUAUCUGGCACAUAACUGACGCUGAGGAGCGAAAGCGUGGGUAGCAAACAGGAUUAGAUACCCUUGUAGUC
rnacentral:rRNA from 1 species